rnacentral:rRNA from 1 species
GUUUUAUUGAAAAUAAUUUUAAGUCAGAUCUGCUCAAUGAUAUAUUUUAAAUAGCUGCAGUAUUUUUAACUGUACAAAGGUAGCAUAAUAAAUAGUUUUUUAAUUGAAAACUGGAAUGAAAGAUUAAAUGAAAUAUAAACUGUUUUAAAUUUAUUAAUUGAAUUUUUUAUUUAAAUAAAAAAAUUUAAAUGAAUUUUAAAGACGAGAAGACCCUAAAGAAUUUUUAUAAAAAUUUUAUUAAAAUAAAUUUUUUAUUUUAAUUGGGGUAAUUUUAAAAUUUAUUAAACUUUUAAUUAAAUUAAACAAAGAUUUUUGUAUAAAUAAAUUUUAUUAAAAAAUUAAAAUAAAUUACCUUAGGGAUAACAGCAUAAUUUUAUUUUUAAGUUCAAAUUUUUAAUUAA